UACGUAGGGACCGAGCGUUGUCCGGAAUCAUUGGGCGUAAAGAGCGUGUAGGCGGCCACUUAAGUCCUGCGUGAAAUCUUGCGGCUCAACCGCAAGCGGUCGUGGGAAACUGGGUGGCUAGAGUGCGGGAGAGGAGAGUGGAAUUCCUGGUGUAGCGGUGGAAUGCGCAGAUAUCAGGAGGAACACCGGUGGUGUAGACGGCUCUCUGGACCGUAACUGACGCUGAGACACGAAAGCGUGGGUAGCAAACAGG
rnacentral:rRNA from 1 species